rnacentral:misc_RNA from 1 species
AAGUCGUAACAAGGUUUCCGUAGGUGAACCUGCGGAAGGAUCAUUAACACGUAUCCAAACGUUAAACCCCCCUGUGAACCUUCACCUGUACUCGUACGUCCGUUAGAAAAAGCAGCAAUCCCUGGUAAAUCAUCGCCGAACAGUUUUCGAUUCAGGGAUGUCUGCAAGGAGCGUGCAUGUUGUGCGAGCAAGUGGCCUGGCAUCCCCAAGCAGUUAGUGUCUGAAAGUGUCAUUAACUGUGUAAGGAUGACGCAGUCACGAUCGUUGGAGGCCCACACGGCCGACGACCGGGUCACUGGGCGCAAGCCCCCCUAUAACAAACGCUGCUAAUCGCGGCCGCGAUAAUACGCAGUUAACAAUGGAUAUCUUGGUUCUC